rnacentral:rRNA from 1 species
UACGGAGGAUCCAAGCGUUAUCCGGAAUCAUUGGGUUUAAAGGGUCCGUAGGCGGUUUUGUAAGUCAGUGGUGAAAGCCCAUCGCUCAACGGUGGAACGGCCAUUGAUACUGCAAGACUUGAAUUAUUAGGAAGUGACUAGAAUAUGUAGUGUAGCGGUGAAAUGCUUAGAUAUUACAUGGAAUACCAAUUGCGAAGGCAGGUUACUACCAGUGGAUUGACGCUGAUGGACGAAAAGCGUGGGGAGCCGAACGAGGA